GGAGGCCGGGUCAAAGUCUAGCACCAUGUGGGCAGGGGAUUGUUGGGCGGAGGCCGGUAAAGGUCCAAGUCCAACACUCUAGCUCUCGAAAAUGUAAUGUGUGGCGGUAUAAGGAAAAAAAUUUGGGCGGAGGCCGGUAAAGGUCCAAGUCCAACACUCUAGCUCUCGAAAAUGUGUGGCGGUAUAAGGAAAAAAGAUCAGUUAAGACUGGCUGGUGCUGGGGGAUUGUUGGGCGGAGGCCGGUAAAGGGCCAAGUCCAGUACCCUAGCUCUUGAAAGUGUGGCGGUAUAAUAAAAUAAAGAUCCAUCUUGGCUACAAGCUAUAACUUUUGGAGUAGUUUUGGUUUUAGCAGCUUAUUAUGGAUUCUGAUUAUAGUUUAUAGUUGAAAA